UACGGAGGGUGCAAGCGUUAUCCGGAUUCACUGGGUUUAAAGGGUGCGUAGGAGGGCAGGUAAGUCAGUGGUGAAAUCCCCGAGCUUAACUUGGGAACUGCCGUUGAUACUAUCUGUCUUGAAUAUUGUGGAGGUGAGCGGAAUAUGUCAUGUAGCGGUGAAAUGCUUAGAUAUGACAUAGAACACCAAUUGCGAAGGCAGCUCGCUACACAAUUAUUGACUCUGAUGCACGAAAGCGUGGGGAUCAAACAGG
rnacentral:rRNA from 1 species